GAUGAAGAACGCAGCGAAAUGCGAUAAGUAAUGUGAAUUGCAGAAUUCAGUGAAUCAUCGAAUCUUUGAACGCACAUUGCGCCCGCCAGUAUUCUGGCGGGCAUGCCUGUUCGAGCGUCAUUUCAACCCUCAAGCCCCAGCGCCCUGGUGUUGGGGACCGGCGACCUCGCCCGAGCCCGCCCUCCGGGGCGCGUGCCCGGUGCGUCCGCCGCCCCCGAAAUGAAUUGGCGGCCUCGUCGCGGCCUCCUCUGCGUAGUAGCACAACCUCGCAAGCGGGAGCGCGACGCGGCCACUGCCGUAAAACGCCCAACUUUUUUAGAGUUGACCUCGGAUCAGGUAGGAAUACCCGCUGAACUUAAGCAUAUCAAUAAGCGGAGGA
rnacentral:misc_RNA from 1 species